rnacentral:tRNA from 1 species
AAAAAGGUGAUAGAAUGGUUAUAUAGCUAGCUUGAAACUGGUUAAUGUAGGUUCAAUUCCUACCCUUUUUG